rnacentral:rRNA from 1 species
GAUGAACGCUGGCGGCGUGCCUAACACAUGCAGGUCGAGCGAGAACCGUCGGAAUGACACUUCGGUAGAAUGAAAGCGGGGAAAGCGGCGGACGGGUGAGUAACGCGUAGGUAACCUGCCCCAUACACAGGGAUAGCCUAGGGAAACCUGGAUUAAUACCUGAUGAAGCAACUGGUCGCAUGACCGGCUGCCAAAGAUUUAUCGGUAUGGGAUGGACCUGCGUCUGAUUAGUGAGUUGGUGGGGUAAUGGCCUACCAAAGCGACGAUCAGUAGCCGACCUGAGAGGGUGAUCGGCCACAUUGGAACUGAGACACGGUCCAAACUCCUGCGGGAGGCAGCAGUGGGGGAUAUUGCACAAUGGGCGGAAGCCUGAUGCAGCAACGCCGCGUGAGCGAAGAAGGUCUUCGGAUCGUAAAGCUCUGUCCUGGGGGAAGAAACAAAUGACGGUACCCCGGGAGGAAGCCCCGGCUAACUACGUGCCAGCAGCCGCGGUAAACU